GGGCCCGCACAAGCGGUGGAGUAUGUGGUUUAAUUCGAUGCAACGCGAAGAACCUUACCAGGGUUUGACAUCCUGCGAAUCUCUUGGAAACGAGAGAGUGCCUUCGGGAACGCAGUGACAGGUGGUGCAUGGCUGUCGUCAGCUCGUGUCGUGAGAUGUUGGGUUAAGUCCCGCAACGAGCGCAACCCACGUCGUUAGUUGCCAGCAUUUAGUUGGGCACUCUAGCGAGACCGCCGGUGAUAAACCGGAGGAAGGUGUGGAUGACGUCAAGUCAUCAUGCCCCUUACAUCCUGGGCUACACACGUACUACAAUGCUACGGACAAAGGGCAGCAAACUCGCGAGGGGGAGCU
rnacentral:rRNA from 1 species